AGCGAACGCUGGCGGCAGGCUUAACACAUGCAAGUCGAGCGGGCACUUUCGGGUGUCAGCGGCGGACGGGUGAGUAACGCGUGGGAACGUGCCCUCUGGUUCGGAAUAACUCAGGGAAACUUGAGCUAAUACCGGAUACGCCCUUUUGGGGAAAGGCUUGCUGCCGGAGGAUCGGCCCGCGUCUGAUUAGCUAGUUGGUGAGGUAACGGCUCACCAAGGCGACGAUCAGUAGCUGGUCUGAGAGGAUGAUCAGCCACACUGGGACUGAGACACGGCCCAGACUCCUACGGGAGGCAGCAGUGGGGAAUAUUGGACAAUGGGCGCAAGCCUGAUCCAGCCAUGCCGCGUGAGUGAUGAAGGCCUUAGGGUUGUAAAGCUCUUUUAUCCGGGACGAUAAGGACGGUACCGGAGGAAUAAGCCCCGGCUAACUUCGU
rnacentral:rRNA from 1 species